GGCCGAAAUCAAGAACUAUGACCCAUGGGGCCGGGGAGGGUGCGGCGCACCCCUCAGAGACAACCAAGGGGACCUCAUUACUGACCUGAAGCAGAUGCACAAGCAGAAUGAGGAAGCUUGGAUGAACCCUGAGACUUCUCUGAAAAAAGCCACCAGGCCCAUCCUGAAGGAGGACAGACUGCCUCCCAUCAACACAGUCUCUGGUUUUGCCCCUGUCCAGACCUCGAUGUAUGCCAGAGGAAAUGUGUUUCCUAAUCAGCCAACGCUUCAUCAACUCACUGAACUGGAUAAG